GAUGAACGCUAGCGGAGGCCUAAUACAUGCAGGUCGAACGGUAACAGGUAGCAAUACGCUGACGAGUGGCGCACGGGUGCGUAACGCGUACACAAUCUGCCUUAUACUGGGGCAUAGCCUUUGGAAACGAAGAAUAAUUCCCCAUAAUAUAUAGAAGAGGCAUCUCUUUCAUAUUAAAGCUCAGGCGGUAUAAGAUGAGUGUGCGUCCGAUUAGGUAGUUGGUGAGGUAACGGCUCACCAAGCCAACGAUCGGUAGCUGGUCUGAGAGGAUGAUCAGCCACACGGGCACUGAGACACGGGCCCGACUCCUACGGGAGGCAGCAGUAGGGAAUAUUGGACAAUGGGCGCAAGCCUGAUCCAGCCAUCCCGCGUGAAGGAUGAAGGUCCUCUGGAUUGUAAACUUCUUUUCUUCGGGAAUAAAAACUGGGGUUCUCCUCAGCUUGAAGGUACCGAAGGAAUAAGCACCGGCUAACUCCGUG
rnacentral:rRNA from 1 species